AUGGGAUUGAGAUCCGACGGUGCACAGCAAACGCUCUGUGCUGUGCUGCUGCGUCCGUCUCUGCUAUACCAUUACACUUCUCUCUCUCUCUCUCUCUCUCUGUCCGCCGGAAUGGCAACGGCGGCAGCGGCGGCGGUGCGGCGCAGCCUCGGCGCCGCAGGCCCGGACCUCUCCGUCGCCCACCUCUGCUGCCCCUCGACCCCCACCACCUACAACGCAGCCCACCUCCCACCCACGCCUGCCACCCUCCUCGCGCUCCUCCGCCGCGCGCCAGCCUCGCAUCCCCACGCCGCCGCGCACGUGCACGCCUGCCUCCUCAAGACGGCCUACUUCCGCCCGGGGGGCUGCACCGUCCCCAACUCGCUGCUCGCCUCCUACGCAACGUCCGGCGACUCCCUUGCCGCGGCGAAGCUGUUCGACGAAAUGCCCCUCCGGGACGUCGCGUCCUGGACCUCCAUGAUGCGGGCGCACCUCGCGGGGGGCUCGGCUUCCCAGGCCCUGUGCAUGUUCAGGGACAUGUUAACUGCCGGUGGCAGCGUGCCUGAGCCGGACGGGGUCGUCCUUGUCGUCGCCCUCCGUGCGUGCGCCGAGCUCGAGGACCUGGCACUUGGAGCCUCCCUGCACGCUGUCACGGAGCGCCGUGGGCUGCGGGGCGCCGAUGUCUUCAUCGACAACUCGCUCGUCGACAUGUACGCAAGGUGCCUCGACCUAUGGUCCGCCAGGAAGGUGUUUGACACGAUCCCGUGCAGGAACGUGGUGUCCUGGAACACCAUGCUCUCUGGACUCGCGCGCGCCGGCCGCGCGGCCGACGCGCUGGACCUUCUCGCCUCCUUGUCAUUGCUGAAAGAGGGUGACAUCGGCUUCGACGAGACGACGCUGGUGGUGCUGCUUCAGCUGUGCAAGAGGCUUGAGGGCGGCCAGGCCAUGUGGUGCCGGUCUGUCCAUGCCGUGGCCAUCAGGAGGGGGCUCCUAUUGUCCUCGACAGGCUUGCCUCUGUUGAACGCCCUGCUGGAUGCCUACGCCAAGUGCGGCCUGCUCGAGCACACGCUCAGGCUGUUCCGUGGCAUGCCCGAGAGGAACAUCGUCACGUGGAGCACCGUCAUUGCUGGAUGCACCCACAACGGCCGACCGGGCGAUGCGAUCGCGUGCGCCGUCGCAAUGAGGGAGGCCGGGGAAAUUCCCAACUCGGUCACCAUACUGAGCGUCCUCGAGGCAUGCGCAGACUGUGCGGAGAUGGCAGCGUCGAGAUGCGCCCACGGCAUGGCGCUCAGGAGUGGGCUAGCCUUGGAGCGGGACGUCAGCAACGCUCUGGUGGACAUGUAUGGAAAAUGCGGCAACCUGGCUGCGGCGAUGAGGGUGUUCAAUGCGAUGCCUCGAAGGGACGUGCUCACCUGGAACUCCAUGAUCAGCGCGCUGGGGAUGAAUGGCCGCACACGUGAUGCCCUCGCCCUCGUCGACAGGAUGGAGCAGGAAGGGGACAUCACGCCGAAUGGUGUCACGAUGCUGGCCGUGCUGUCGGCAUGCGCGCACGGAGGUCUGGUGGAGGAGGGUGUGGCCUGCUUCGAGAGGAUGACGGCGACACACUCGGUUGAGCCACAGGUGGAGCACCUAUCGUGCAUCGUCGACAUGCUCGCACGUGCAGGGGACCUUGAGGGGGCCGCUAGGGUCAUUGAGGAGAGGAUAUCCACCACCAGCAGUCCAGCAGCCUGGAGCGCGCUGCUAAGCGCCUGCAGAGGCCACAGCAGCGACUCGAAGGUCGGCCGUAAUGCUGCCUGCCGUGUCCUGGAGUUGGAGCCGGGCAAUGCGGCGGGGUACCUGAUGUCGAUGGGCGUGCCCAGCGCUGGCGAGACGGCAGCGCGGUUGCGGCAGCUGAUGAGGGAGAGGGGAGUAGGGGUGACUGGCGGACACAGCAUGGUGCAGGUGGGGCGCGAUGCUCACAGCUUCAUGUCGUGGGACGGAUGCCACCCUGACAGAGCGCAGGUUUACUCCAUGCUACAUCUCCUGCAUCAACAGAUGCUGCCGCCUACUCCUCCACAUCCAAAUCACCAUCAUCUUACCUUAUUAUCAUGUACACCAGUGUCA
rnacentral:rRNA from 1 species